rnacentral:rRNA from 1 species
GACAGAGGUGCCGAGCGUUAGGCGGAAUCACUGGGCUUAAAGCGUGUGUAGGCGGACGGGUAAGUACCUUGUGAAAUCCCACGGCUCAACCGUGGAACUGCUGGGUAUACUGCCUGUCUUGUGCAACCUAGGGGCGAGCGGAACAGAUGGUGGAGCGGUGAAAUGCGUAGAUAUCAUCUGGAACGCCAAUGGUGAAAACAGCUCGCUGGGGGUUUGCAGACGCUGAGACACGAAAGCCAGGGGAGCAA